rnacentral:rRNA from 1 species
AUUGAACGCUGGCGGCAGGCCUAACACAUGCAAGUCGAGCGGAUGAAGAGAGCUUGCUCUCUGAUUUAGCGGCGGACGGGUGAGUAAUGCCUAGGAAUCUGCCUGGUAGUGGGGGACAACGUUUCGAAAGGAACGCUAAUACCGCAUACGUCCUACGGGAGAAAGUGGGGGAUCUUCGGACCUCACGCUAUCAGAUGAGCCUAGGUACGAUUAGCUAGUUGGUGAGGUAAAGGCUCACCAAGGCGACGAUCGUUAACUGGUCUGAGAGGAUGAUCAGUCACACUGGAACUGAGACACGGUCCAGACUCCUACGGGAGGCAGCAGUGGGGAAUAUUGGACAAUGGGCGAAAGCCUGAUCCAGCCAUGCCGCGUGUGUGAAGAAGGUCUUCGGAUUGUAAAGCACUUUAAGUUGGGAGGAAGGGCAGUAAGUUAAUACCUUGCUGUUUUGACGUUACCGACAGAAUAAGCACCGGCUAACUUCGUGCCAGCAGCCGCAGUAAUAC